CCUACGGGAGGCAGCAGUAGGGAAUCUUUCACAAUGGGCGAAAGCCUGAUGGAGCAACGCCGCGUGCAGGAUGAAGGCCUUCGGGUUGUAAACUGCUUUUAUAAGCGAGAAAUAUGAUGGUAACUUAUGAAUAAGGAUCGGCUAACUACGUGCCAGCAGCCGCGGUCAUACGUAGGAUCCGAGCAUUAUCCGGAGUGACUGGGUGUAAAGAGUUGCGUAGGUGGCAUAAUAAGUAGCUAGUGAAAUCUGGUGGCUCAACCAUUCAGACUAUUAGCUAAACUGUUAAGCUCGAGACCGUUAGGGGUAACUGGAAUUUCUAGUGUAGGAGUGAAAUCCGUAGAUAUCACGCAGAACUCCGAUUGCGAAGGCAGCAUACCGGCGCCCAACUGACGCUGAAGCACGAAAGCGUGGGUAUCGAACAGGAUUAGAUACCCCUGUAGUC
rnacentral:rRNA from 1 species